rnacentral:rRNA from 1 species
ACCGAUGAAGGACGUGGAAGACUGCGAUAAGCUUCGGGUAGCUGUCAACAAGCUAUGAUCCGGAGAUUUCCGAAUGGGGAAACCCAAUACGAGUCAUGUCGUAUUACCUGUAUCUGAAUAAAAUAGGAUAUUUGGCGGGAACCAACUGAACUGAAACAUCUUAGUAGGUUGAGGAAUAGAAAGUAAAUAACGAUUCUCGGAGUAGUGGCGAGCGAAACGGGAUGAGCCCAAACCUUUUAAGUUUCUAUCUUUUGAUAGAUAAGCUGAUAGGCGAAUACUUAAUCGGGGUUGUGAUAUUACACGAGACCAAGUCAGAGAACUCGAGUUUACUCGAGGUAUCUGAUUUGCGACCAGCAGCUAUCACUGACUGGAUAAGGUAAGAAAACUCUGUUGUUAGCAGAAUAGUUUGAAUGACUAACCAAAGGACGUGAAAGUCGCGUAUGCGAAAACAACAUUGACCUUAUACGUGUUUUAUCGAGUAGGGCGGGGCACGAGAAACCCUGUCUGAAUCCGGCUGGACCACCAGCCAAGGCUAAAUAUAAUAUACGAUCGAUAGUGA